AGUGGCUGUGGCUCGGCCCCUGGCUCGGCAACCUCCAUGUGUCGCAGGUCCGUUCCUGUGGCCUUUGCCACAGCAACACCAGAGCUGGGUAUACACUGGAUUUUGACACUGCUGUUCAUUUUUAACUUCCUUGAGACAAACUGUACUUUUCCAACUCUGGUCACCACAAUGAAUCACAAUAUGAUACUUUUUUCCAGCCAGCCAACAAUGACACUCAAUUUAACCAGAGGAAGAUCUGAAAUCAGAAUACACAGUGCUGAAACCAUGCCAGAGUACCCAUGGAUAUUGCAGAGAUGA
rnacentral:lncRNA from 1 species